rnacentral:rRNA from 1 species
UACGUAGGCAGCGAGCGUUGUUCGGAAUCACUGGGCGUAAAGGGUGCGUAGGCGGGUCUUUAAGUCAGGGGUGAAAUCCUGGAGCUCAACUCCAGAACUGCCUUUGAUACUGAGGAUCUUGAGUACGGGAGAGGUGAGUGGAACUGCGAGUGUAGAGGUGAAAUUCGUAGAUAUUCGCAAGAACACCAGUGGCGAAGGCGGCUCACUGGCCCGUAACUGACGCUGAGGCACGAAAGCGUGGGGAGCAAACAGG